UACGUAGGGUGCGAGCGUUAAUCGGAAUUACUGGGCGUAAAGCGUGCGUAGGCGGUUCGUUAAGUUCGUUGUGAAAGCCCCGGGCUCAACCUGGGAAUGGCAAUGGAAACUGGCGAACUGGAGUGUGGCAGAGGGGGGUGGAAUUCCGCGUGUAGCAGUGAAAUGCGUAGAGAUGCGGAGGAACACCGAUGGCGAAGGCAGCCCCCUGGGCUGACACUGACGCUCAGGCACGAAAGCGUGGGGAGCAAACAGG
rnacentral:rRNA from 1 species